AUGAAAUCAAACGAUAUAAACAUCAAACUUCAAGGAACACAAUGGCAUCAAGAAUUUUUAAAAUCCAUGCGUGGAUCACGAAAGAAACUUAGCACAAAAAUUACAGUUCAACACUUUUUCAGAACUUCAAAAAUCAAAACAAACUUAGAAAUUAUGCAUCCAUAUACAUCACACAUACUGUGUGGCCAGUUAAAACAUGAUUAA